CAGUGGACUGUGGAUUGAAUGAACUGUAUCCAUCCCCAUCAUGAUGUACAACACCAGGUCUCUUCACUACACUUGUAUUGUGAUUAGCGGCCAAAAAAACAACAGUCAGAACUUCAGCUAAGAUACAGUAAGCUUUUGCUGUGACGUGGCACCUGGUCUCUUUCUAGAAGGAAAGUUCAACAAACAGCACAGUUCUGGACACAUUGUAUUGGUUUGAUG
rnacentral:lncRNA from 1 species